ACGGGGGGGCGCGUGCCUAUACUGCAAGUCGAGCGAACUGAUUAGAAGCUUGCUUCUAUGACGUUAGCGGCGGACGGGUGAGUAACACGUGGGCAACCUGCCUGUAAGACUGGGAUAACUUCGGGAAACCGAAGCUAAUACCGGAUAGGAUCUUCUCCUUCAUGGGAGAUGAUUGAAAGAUGGUUUCGGCUAUCACUUACAGAUGGGCCCGCGGUGCAUUAGCUAGUUGGUGAGGUAACGGCUCACCAAGGCAACGAUGCAUAGCCGACCUGAGAGGGUGAUCGGCCACACUGGGACUGAGACACGGCCCAGACUCCUACGGGAGGCAGCAGUAGGGAAUCUUCCGCAAUGGACGAAAGUCUGACGGAGCAACGCCGCGUGAGUGAUGAAGGCUUUCGGG
rnacentral:rRNA from 2 species